CUCUGGUAGCCGGAAGCAGCAGCUGCGGAGGAGGGGAGCGAUGGAGGCAGAGGGGCCGGAGCAGCGGCAGGGCGGCCGGGAGCCGGAGCCGGCCACAGCGAAUGGCGAUUGCAGCCGCCCCCUGUCCCUCUCCGGACAGUCCUACUGGCUCGACGUGUGGCUCUUCGUCCUCUUCGACCUGGCGCUGCUCGUCUUCGUCUAUCUGCUGCCCUGAGCCUGCGGUGGCAACUCCUAUUCAAGAUGAGGAACCGUAUUUAUGAAAACAUACUUCAGAAGAGGAAGAGUAUACAUGCAACUGGAAAUGAGACUCUGAAACCUGUUAAGCCACUGAGUGCUAGUGAUACACAUUGAUCCAUUCAUGGAUGUAGUGAUUUUGAGGGGGUCUGGUUCAUUUAUAGCCUGUCACUGAAGUAAAUGUAAAUUGUGCCUUAAGUUAAAUUAUUUCAAAAGUUUGAGGAUACUCUAGCUUCCAUAGCAGUAAUAUGGAUUAUUCAUUUGUCAUUUACAUAAUAUUUAGUGUUUGAAUAAAGAUCAAUUGAAAAAAUGGAACUUCAGAUUGGCUGGAUAGCUUCUUCUGUAGAAAAGAUAGAUGGUGCCUGGUUUCUCCUGAGGUUACUUUUGUGGUUAUGACAUCCUUUUCUAACCUGGCAAGAUCAACUCCCUCUUUCAAACACUUCCAUGCAGCUCUAUCCCUCUGAGGCUUUUUAUAGGAGCUCUGUCUAGAGACAAAUAGCCAUAAUAGUAAGUUUUUACUGGUGUCCUCUUAAAUUACCCAGCAUGACCCUGCUUAUGAUGUUGGUUGCUUACUUUCACUAUCCUUCCCUACUGGAAUAACCUGUAGUGCUGUGGGUACAUAGAGCCACAUUUUGAAAGGCAUCCUCCUCUGUGCUAACCACUAUUAUCAUCUCCUCCUAAAAUAUCAAGCAGGUUUUGAUAUCAAAAUCCCUUUGUAACUAAGUAAGGCAUGUAAAAAGGCAAGCCUGCCUGCUGAAAGCUUGCCUACAUUUAAAGGGCUGCACUGGUGAAGAUGUGACUUAUGCCACAGGGAGGGCUUUUCCUGUUGGCACAGGUACUCCACCUUCCUGAGGCAGUACCCAUGUUGAUGGGAGAAGGUGGACAUUGACAAUUUUUUGCACAUACAGCAGAACUGAUGAUUCAAAACAUGACAGAAUUAACUUUGCAGAGAAUAAAUAUUGAAGUUUCCUACAUCUAAGCUUUGUUUUUCCUGUUACACACCACAUAUUAUUGCCUAAUGUUUUAUUUGAACAGUGAUGCUCACAGCUUCACUUAGAUAGCUGAGAACUACUCUCAAGCACCACAGAUCUUCUGUUAGAUGACCAACCUAACUUGCAAAUAAGUGGUGUUCCAGCAUUGUUUCAUCACUUUUAAACCACCUGUGUAAAAUAGAGAAUAGAGGUAGCAGCCACAAAAGUAGUUAGAUAAAAACUGUCUGAACAUGCAGAAAAAUGCAACUUUGCAUGAAAAUAAAAUUUGAAAGAUUGAAAUAUUACAAUACCUGUUAAAUGCAUUAACAUUACAAAAUAUCUAUGUUCUUAUACAAAUCUAUAACCAGGACAUUUAUAAAAAAAGGCACUCUAGCUAAAUCAGUGUCAGAUCACACAUUAGUUAAAUUAAAUAAACAUAGGGCAUGUAGAGUAAAAACUGAAGAUGUCAAUUAUAUAAUAGUGCACAAAUAACUUAUCUGGUAAACAGGUCAUAUACAAAAGAUUUUGCCUGGAAAGACAGCUUCAAGGAAAGCAAGGAAAGAUCAAUGUUCAUCUAAGUGACUUCAAUGAAGAUUGUUGCAUUUCAGAACCCCAGAAGAACCUAAGCAGCUAUUCUUAAAUAAACUCACCAAUUAUGUUCACUAGCUUUCUGGAAACCAAAUUCACUUGUUUGUGUUAGUAAUAGGCAUUUACAUUGUUUCUUUGUAUAGAAGUGUGAACGUUUGCUAUGAACCUUUAAGAACAUUUAAAGUUUGCUCUUGUAUAGUAUUCAGUGUUGCUGUGCUGUUUAGACAUUAAAAUGCUGCAAUUCCAAAUACAAGAUUUCUGGAAAAG